rnacentral:tRNA from 1 species
GGAUUGUGGCUCAGCGGUAGAGUGCUCGCCUAGCACAUGUGAGGCCCUGGGUUCAAUCCUCAGCACCA